CUGGGAGUAGAGGAAAAUGAAAUUGAAAGUGAGGUUCCCAGAGUUUAAAAGAACGCCCUGCAGGCAGGGGACAGAACACCCGACACAGCGGCUGAGGCUUCAGGAUGCCUGUGGUGAUUCCUAACUUGGCGUUAUGCGCUAUCCUGUUCACGGUCUGCUUCCUGGCAACUUUGGACUCAAUGAAGAAACAAAAUGGACCGUGCAAGAACCAAGAGCAUACCAAGAAGCAGUGAGAGAUGAGUGGACGUCAACCAGCAGGAAAGAGCUAACUCACUUGCGUAGUGUUCCAAUGAGUCCUUACAGUCUGUAUAACCGAAGCUCAAAAUACUAGAAAUGUCUCUCAUGGGCACCAAAAGAAUUCCUUCCCUUCUGGGCCUCCAUGACCCUGCUUGUUCCUGUCCUGACAACUGAGGGAAAAAUCUCUGCAGCUCUUUGCAUAAUCGACUCCACGCUCCAGUUCAGCCUGCGCUCUGCACUCAGCCUGCUGGAUCGCGCUGUUCCUCUAUUCAACAGAAGAUGGGAAUUUAAGAUGGAUUUUCACAAAGAGGCCAUGCCUAGGGCAUAUGGAUCAGUUUGGGGGACACCCAUGCCUGGGGCCUUGGGGGACACCCUCCCUGUGCCCCCCUGCACGUGAGCUCGUGGGUUGGAGGAACAAAUAUCUAGACGCUUAACCCUAACUCUUCAGUCACUGCUGCAUUUAAUAAACACGAGUGAGCAUUU